rnacentral:rRNA from 1 species
CCUACGGGUGGCAGCAGUGGGGAAUAUUGCACAAUGGGGGAAACCCUGAUGCAGCGACGCCGCGUGAGUGAUGAAGUAUUUCGGUUUGUAAAGCUCUUUUGUCAGGGAAGAAAAUGACGGUACCUGAGUAAUAAGCACCGGCUAACUACGUGCCAGCAGCCGCGGUAAUACGUAGGGGGCAAGCGUUAUCCGGAUUCACUGGGUGUAAAGGGCGCGUAGGUGGCAUUGCAAGUCAGGUGUGAAAGGCGGGGGCUUAACCACCGAACUGCACUUGAAACUGUAAGUCUGGAGUGCAGGCGAGGUAAGUGGAAUUCCUAGUGUAGCGGUGAAAUGCGUAGAUAUCAGGAGGAACACCAAUGGUGAAGGCGACUUACUGGAAUGUAACUGACGUUGAGGCUCGAAAGCGUGGGGAGCAAACAGGAUUAGAUACCCUUGUAGUC